CCUACGGGCGGCAGCAGUGGGGAAUAUUGGACAAUGGGGGGAACCCUGAUCCAGCCAUGCCGCGUGUGUGAAGAAGGCCCUCGGGUUGUAAAGCACUUUCAGUGAGGAAGAACGCCUGGUGGUUAAUACCCAUCAGGAAAGACAUCACUCACAGAAGAAGCACCGGCUAACUCCGUGCCAGCAGCCGCGGUAAUACGGAGGGUGCGAGCGUUAAUCGGAAUUACUGGGCGUAAAGCGCGCGUAGGUGGCUUGAUAAGCCGGUUGUGAAAGCCCCGGGCUCAACCUGGGAACGGCAUCCGGAACUGUCAAGCUAGAGUGUAGGAGAGGAAGGUAGAAUUCCCGGUGUAGCGGUGAAAUGCGUAGAGAUCGGGAGGAAUACCAGUGGCGAAGGCGGCCUUCUGGACUGACACUGACACUGAGGUGCGAAAGCGUGGGUAGCAAACAGGAUUAGAUACCCUGGUAGUC
rnacentral:rRNA from 1 species